AGGAUGAACGCUGGCGGUCUGCUUAACACAUGCAAGUCGAACGGAGUAGCAAUACUUAGUGGCGGACGGGUGAGUAACGCGUGAGAAUCUACCUUCAGGACGGAGACAACAGUUGGAAACGACUGCUAACCCCCGAUGUACCGAAAGGGCAAAUAUUUAUAGCCUGAAGAAGAGCUCGCGUCCGAUUAGCUAGUUGGAGAGGUAAAAGCUCACCAAGGCGACGAUCGGUAGCUGGUCUGAGAGGACGAUCAGCCACACUGGGACUGAGACACGGCCCAGACUCCUACGGGAGGCAGCAGUGGGAAUUUUCGCAAUGGGCGAAAGCCUGACGGAGCAAGACCGCGUGGGGAAGAAGGCUCUUGGGUUGUAAACCCCUUUUCUCUGGGAAGAACGUUGUGAAAGCAGCCUGACGGUACCAGAGGAUCAGCAUCGGCUAACUCCGUGCCAGCAGCCGC
rnacentral:rRNA from 1 species